AGGGGGUAAUUUUUGAAGAGUAUAACGCAGCGGAAUAAAACUUAUAGAAAGCAGAAAGCGUGUUCGGUCACAGUUAAAACGAAAUUGGUCCUUUUUCGCAAAAAUAAUUUUCUUUCAGAAAAUUAAUCAAACAGUUAAUAUGCGUAAAAUAAAAUGAGUGUAGGGAAUAGAAAAAUCACACAAAUGAUUUUUAUACUGGUUCGAGUCAAAAGAUUCUACGUCCAGUUGUUAAUCACUAUAAAAAGUGAUUAACUAUUUUCACUAAAAAUACAGUUGUACAAAUUACAAGAUAAUGAAAUG
rnacentral:lncRNA from 1 species